rnacentral:tRNA from 1 species
UCCCUGAUGGUCCAGUGGCUAAGAUUCUGCACUCCCAAUGCAGGGGGCCCAGGUUCAAUCCCUGGCCAGGGAA